rnacentral:rRNA from 1 species
UACGGAGGUGGCAAGCGUUGCUCGGAAUCACUGGGCGUAAAGGGCGCGUAGGUGGCCUGUUAAGUCGAACGUGAAAUCCCCGGGCUCAACCCGGGAACUGCGUCCGAGACUGGCAGGCUCGAAUCCGGGAGAGGGAUGUGGAAUUCCAGGUGUAGCGGUGAAAUGCGUAGAUAUCUGGAGGAACACCGGUGGCGAAGGCGGCAUCCUGGACCGGUAUUGACGCUGAGGCGCGAAAGCCAGGGGAGCAAACGGG